rnacentral:lncRNA from 1 species
UUUUUAGCUCUUUUGACUUCACACAUAGAAAUUUAUGGUGCAUUUCACAGUGCUCCCUGCUGUGGGCCUCAUCAGGUCCUGGCUGCCAGGCCACUAGGAAACAAGAAAUGAAUGCUGGAAAGCCCUGUGGCUGUUCUUAACUAAAGAACUGCAAACAUGACCAAAGUUCCCUGCAAAUCCUCCUAGAUUGUCAGAAGAAAAAUGGCAACAAGCUGUAGCCAUUCAAUGAAGCAAUAUUUUCCUUAUUACUUGUAAAGUCUUUUAUUUAGCUUCAACAGUAUCAUUUUUGAAAUGAUUUUGUGACUGGGGGCAAUACUUGGGUAGCCAUCUGUUCUCUCAGAUUAGCUGUCAGAUGAGUAGAGUGUUUUUAGUCAAUGUUUUCAAAUUACUUUAAAAUACCAACAAAUUCAAUAUUUGUUCAUGACACUAAUGAGGAAAAUUUUCAUGUUUUCAUCCCAAACAAAAAGUUGGAAUUUCCAAUCAUGUUAUGUUCUUUCCAUCAUCACUGGUGCAAAUGGGUAGUUUCUGACGUCUUUUAAAAAAGAAAGAAAAGGAAAAAAGAAAAUUGAAAGGUGGCCAAAAUGUCAAGAUGGAUUUGGUAUACCAGAGCUAUCUUUGCACUUACCAUUUUAAAAGUAAAUCUUUAAUUUGGGGAUUUCUGCCUACCUACCAUUACAAGCCCCUUCGGGGCAAUGAUCUAUCAAGUUCUGACUGUCUCAAACUGUUUGUGCCCAAUUCCACAUCGAUCAAGCACACUUGCUGCACCUUCAACCAGAGAGCCAAGAAACAAUAAUUUUCAAUUAAGAAACCAGAAGAAGACUUGGGGAUUUGAUUUAUGGUGCAUGACUAAUUAUCAAAUAGCCAGCCUAAUGAAAAUUAAGCUGCUGGUUACAACAAAGAUUUAACUUCAUUUUCUUGAAGAGAUACUGAUAUGAUCCAGAAUGUAAUUUAUUGAAGUAGUAUGAUGCAUUUUAAAAGUCAUAGACAUGUAAAUGAGAUAAUUAUCAUUUUUAAACGACAAGACUAAUUAUUUAUAUUAUGAUGAAUUUUAUAUUUAGAGUACAUAUACACCUGAAAUAAAGGAUUAUCUUUGCUUACCACAAUGAUUUUCACUUCCUUCUUAUGCUACUGGUAGAUUUAAAAAUGUUGCAUACAGUGUAAGGAUUGAAGAAUCUUUUUCAAAAAAAAGAAAGUUAAAAUUUAAUAGCUUUUUUUUUUUGAAAAUUCCUUGGUGAAAAUUAUUUAGAAUCAGUAAAUUAAUGAAAAUUUUAAAACCAUGUAAAAUAUGGUCAAGUGGAUGUAUAAGAUCAUAUGCAUAUUUUGUGUUAACUAUAGGUUUUGCUUGUAUUGUUAAAAACAGACUUACAAAUACAAAUGCCUAAAAUCAUAAAUAUGCUACAAUGUAAUUACAUUAAAUUAUCAUGUGUGAUGUUCUUUGCCACAUUAACGUUGGCCUUAUUUACAAGUAGUCAACUUUCCACACUAUUUUUCCUCUACCACACCUCACACGUUUUCCUGUGCAACCAUUACUGACUACCCAAACAAUCACAUUUAUUUCUUGCCAAUCUUCCUUCACUCACAUAGUAUAUUUAUAAACUUCCUCAAAGUCCACAUCUCCAAAUUCUGCUAUUUUUCAAUCCAAUCUUAGAUGUCACAUCCUCCAUGACAUGAGUAAAAAUUGUCCCUUCAUCUUUCCACCCCAUCCUGAAAGGGUAUCUUUCUUCUUUGAAAUCCCAUAGAUUCUCAUGGUCAUCAAUCAAAUUAGUGGUUCUCAGUCCUGAGUGCUAUGGUGAGGACAUGUAACAUUGUAUUUCUGAUUUGGGUGUUGAGUAAUGGGUGUUUUCAGGUCAUGAAAAUGUAUCAAGCUGCAUACUUAUGUGCAGUCUUCUAGAUGCAUACAUUAUAAGAAACAUUUACAAAUAUCAAUGCAGUGAUUCCAUCCCAUACCAAUUAACUCAGAAUCUCUGAAGAUGGAGGUUUGGGCAUUGGUAUUUUUUUUAAGUUCCCUACAUGACUAACAUUCAGCUAGCUGUUUAGAACCACUAACCUAGACAGUGUCUUAAGAAGUUUCUCUUCCUUUCCCAAGGAGUAGUUCCCACUGAGAUAACCACAAAUGAAUGGGCAACCAAAACUGUAGGACUCCUAACAAUAUACAUUUUACAAAAGUGUUUAUGUUUGACCAUUUCCCAGGUAAUGUACUUAUGCAUUAUAAUCACUAUAUGUUUCAGAGUUGGAACUAUUCUUGGAAAUACUCAUUUCUAAAAUGUCAUCAUUUCAAUGGGGUUGAUAUUAUUGUAGUAUUUCUAAUUUUAUACAUCUUAUUAUGGCCUUAUAGAAAUAACAUCCUCCCCUCUGACAUGUGCUUCUUUUGAUCAGGAAUGGUUCACUUUUUUAAAUAAAUAUUCAUCAUACUAUUAUUUCAACACUGGUCAACAAUUUAAAAGAAAAGUGAGAGGGAGAAAGAAUCAGGUAAGAAAAAGACUAGUUUUGUGUCUUUAUGUUUAAUUAUGUCAUUUAAGAUGGUAAAGGUAUGAAAAAUAAUUUUUUAACUGUAUAAAUCAUGAGAUUUCAAUGAUCAGAAAGUCCUUUUGAAAUAGCUCAUCUUUGGUAAAACUUAUUUUUCAGCUAUCCUCUAUAUUGCCCUUAAAUUUAUUCAUACAGGUAGUAUUAAUAUGUUUCUGUUGGAAUAAAGCACUUAAUGACAACCCUCCAAUAUGUUCACAUUCCACCAUAUGUCAAGAUCUGUCUUUCUAAAGUAGGAAUCAAAUCCCACCUCUACCCUAUUUCACAAUCUUUACCAUGGACCAAUCUUCUUGGUACUCAAAUUGAGAUUUGGGGGCUGCAGCAUGGCUGGGAGCCUAUUCGGAAAGGUGAAAUUUCAGGCCUCACCUCAGAACCAUUGAGUCAAAAUUUGCAUUUUAUUAUUAUUUUUUAAAGAUUUUACUUAUUAAUUUGAGAGAGAGAGAGGCAGGAGAGAGGGAGAGAGAGUAUGAGGGGGAGAAAUGGCAGAGGGAGAGGGACAGUGAGAAGCAGAUUCCACACUGAUCAAGAGGCCUGACUCCAGGAUCCUGGGAUCUUGACCUGAGGCGAAGGCAGAUGCUUUCAGACUGAGCCACUCAAGUGCCCUCAUAAUCUGCAUCAUAAUAAGAUUUCCAAAGAGCACACCCAAAUUUAGAAGCACUUUUCUUAACCUUUAUCUGUCUACCAUCUUCUAUCAUCCUCUUCCAGCUAAUCCUUCAUAUUCAAUUUACUUCCCUAGCUAUGCUGGCUGAUUUAGAGUUCCUGGAAGAAACCAGCAUUUUCUUGUAUUUGCUUGUGUUGUUUACUCUGUCUGGGCUGUGUUCCCAUUAGAAUCACCUGGUAACUCAUCUGGUGAAUUCCUCAAUUCAGCUUAUUCUCCUCCUUUUUGAAGAAAGACCUGCCUAACUCUUCAAGUGCAGUUAGGGUCUUUUUCUUCUUAUUUACAAGACUCCAAUUUAAGAGUUAUCAAACUAUUAUAAAGUGUCUGCCUUUCUUCUUUUCUUUAGACUGGACUCCUUUAGAGCAGGAAUUGCAUCGUGUUAAAUCCUACAGUGCUAUCUAACAAUGUUUUAGACAUGAAAAAAUAAGUCAGUAAAUGCUUUAUGAGUGUUAGACAAAAGGCCUAGUUAAGGUCAUUUUUGAGGACAAAGUGUCGCAAAUGUUCCUUUUAUAAAGGUGUACUUGAAAAUCACACAUUUAAAAGCACUUUAUUGUAAUUAUUUGAUUCUUCUAUUUGUGGUGGAAUAAGACUUACAUAGAUUUAUAGAGUUAGGAUGUCUUGGGAUAUAAUCUAAUCUUAUAUUCAUUCUCAAAGAAGAUGAUCCAAGGUGAUUAAUUAAUUUCUCCUAUAACCAAAAAAAAAAAAAAAAAAA